AGGAAUCUGCCUAUUAGUGGGGGACAACAUCUCGAAAGGGAUGCUAAUACCGCAUACGUCCUACGGGAGAAAGCAGGGGAUCACUUGUGACCUUGCGCUAAUAGAUGAGCCUAAGUCGGAUUAGCUAGUUGGUGGGGUAAAGGCCUACCAAGGCGACGAUCUGUAGCGGGUCUGAGAGGAUGAUCCGCCACACUGGGACUGAGACACGGCCCAGACUCCUACGGGAGGCAGCAGUGGGGAAUAUUGGACAAUGGGGGGAACCCUGAUCCAGCCAUGCCGCGUGUGUGAAGAAGGCCUUAUGGUUGUAAAGCACUUUAAGCGAGGAGGAGGCUCUUUUGGUUAAUACCCAGAAUGAGUGGACGUUACUCGCAGAAUAAGCACCGGCUAACUCUGUGCCAGCAGCCGCGGUAAUACAGAGGGUGCAAGCGUUAAUCGGAUUUACUGGGCGUAAAGCGCGCGUAGGCGGCCAAUUAAGUCAAAUGUGAAAUCCCCGAGCUUAACUUGGGAAUUGCACUCGAUACUGGUUGGCUAGAGUGUGGGAGAGGAUGGUAGAAUUCCGGGU
rnacentral:rRNA from 1 species